GACGAACGCUGACGGCGUGCGUAAUACAUGCAAGUCGACCUUAGUGGCCACCGGGUGAGUAACACGUGGGUAACCUGCCCAUCAGAAGGGGAUAACACUUGGAAACAGGUGCUAAUACCGUAUACUGAUGGAUGGACCCGCGGUGCAUUAGCUAGUUGGUGAGGUAACGGCGCACCAAGGCCACUAUGCAUAGCCGACCGGAGCGGGUCAUCGGCAACAAUGGGAGUUAGAAACUGCACAAACUCCGACGGUAGGCAGCAGUAGGGAAUCUUCGGCAAUGGACGAAAGUCUUACCGAGCAACGCCGCGUGAGUGAAGAAGGUUUGCGGGUCGUAAGCCUCUGGUGUGAGUAAAGCGGUAACAAACCAGAAAGCCACGGCUCAGUACGCGCAAGCAGCCGCGGUAAUAC
rnacentral:rRNA from 1 species